rnacentral:piRNA from 1 species
UGUCAUUGUCUUUUCCUAUGGGUUCUUGC